rnacentral:rRNA from 2 species
UUGUACACACCGCCCGUCACACCAUGAGAGUUUGUAACACCCAAAGCCGGUGGGGUAACCUUUUAGGAGCCAGCCGUCUAAGGUGGGACAGAUGAUUAGGGUGAAGUCGUAACAAGGUAGCCGUAGGAGAACCUGCGGCUGGAUCACCUCCUUUCU